UACGUAGGGUGCGAGCGUUGUCCGGAAUUAUUGGGCGUAAAGAGCUUGUAGGCGGUCUGUCGCGUCUGCUGUGAAAAUCCGGGGCUCAACCCCGGACUUGCAGUGGGUACGGGCAGACUAGAGUGUGGUAGGGGAGACUGGAAUUCCUGAUGUAGCGGUGAAAUGCGCAGAGAUCAGGAGGAACACCCGUAGCGAAGGCGGCACUCUGGGCCGAUACUGACGCUGAGGAGCGAAAGCGUGGGGAGCGAACAGG
rnacentral:rRNA from 1 species